UCCGUAGGCGGUUUUGUAAGUCAGUGGUGAAAGCCCAUCGCUCAACGGUGGAACGGCCAUUGAUACUGCAAGACUUGAAUUAUUAGGAAGUAACUAGAAUAUGUAGUGUAGCGGUGAAAUGCUUAGAUAUUACAUGGAAUACCAAUUGCGAAGGCAGGUUACUACUAAUAUAUUGACGCUGAUGGACGAAAGCUGGGGAGCGAACA
rnacentral:rRNA from 1 species